AUUGAACGCUGGCGGCAGGCCUAACACAUGCAAGUCGAACGGUAACAGGAAGCAGCUUGCUGCUUCGCUGACGAGUGGCGGACGGGUGAGUAAUGUCUGGGAAGCUGCCUGAUGGAGGGGGAUAACUACUGGAAACGGUAGCUAAUACCGCAUAAUGUCGCAAGACCAAAGAGGGGGACCUUCGGGCCUCUUGCCAUCGGAUGUGCCCAGAUGGGAUUAGCUUGUUGGUGGGGUAACGGCUCACCAAGGCGACGAUCCCUAGCUGGUCUGAGAGGAUGACCAGCCACACUGGAACUGAGACACGGUCCAGACUCCUACGGGAGGCAGCAGUGGGGAAUAUUGCACAAUGGGCGCAAGCCUGAUGCAGCCAUGCCGCGUGUAUGAAGAAGGCCUUCGGGUUGUAAAGUACUUUCAACGGGGAGGAAGGGAGUAAAGUUAAUACCUUUGCUCAUUGACGUUACCCGCAGAAGAAGCACCGGCUAACUCCGUG
rnacentral:rRNA from 1 species